UACGGAGGAUGCAAGCGUUAUCCGGAUUCAUUGGGUUUAAAGGGUGCGUAGGCGGAAUAAUUAGUCAGUGGUGAAAGCCUGCGGCUUAACCGUAGAAUUGCCAUUGAUACUGUUAUUCUUGAGUAUAGUUGAGGUGGGCGGAAUGUGUAAUGUAGCGGUGAAAUGCUUAGAUAUUACACAGAACACCAAUUGCGAAGGCAGCUCACUAAGCUGUUACUGACGCUGAGGCACGAAAGCGUGGGGAGCAAACAGGAUUAGAUACCCUGGUAGUCCACGCCGUAAACGAUGAUCACUCGUUGUUGGCGAUACACCGUCAGCGACUGAGCGAAAGCAAUAAGUGAUCCACCUGGGGAGUACGGUCGCAAGACUGAA
rnacentral:rRNA from 1 species